GGUUAAAAAGCUCGUAGUUGGAUCUUGGAAUGUGAACGCGAGGUCGCUUUACUGAGUGAACUUUGUGGCGCAUUCUUCCAUUUGGUCGGUGUGUUUGUGCUCUUAAUUGAGUGCAACAUGCUACCAGAAAUUUUACCUUGAAAAAAUUAGAGUGUUCAAAGCAGACCUUUUUGUGUCUGAAUAUUCGUGCAUGGAAUAAUAAAAUAUGAAUUCGGUUCUAUUUUAUUGGUUUUCGGAACUCGAGUUAAUGAUUAAGAGGGACAGACGGGGGCAUCCGUACUCUGCCGUUAGAGGUGAAAUUCCUGGAUCGGCGGAAGACGCGCAACUGCGAAAGCAUUUGCCAAGAAUGUUUUCUUUAAUCAAGAACGAUAGUCGGAGGUUCGAAGACGAUCAGAUACCGUCCUAGUUUCGACUGUAAACUAUGCCAGCUAACGAUCAGACAGCGUUCUCUACGACUUGUCUGGCAGUUUCCGGGAAACCAAAGCUUUUGGGUUCCGGGGGAAGUAUGGUUGCAAAGCUGAAACUUAAAGGAAUUGACGGAAGGGCACCACCAGGAGUGGAGCCUGCGGCUUAAUUUGACUCA
rnacentral:rRNA from 1 species